rnacentral:lncRNA from 1 species
AGAACACUGAGGCACAGGGGAGUGAAGCCCCCGGCCCGAUAACGAAGAGGAGGAGCAAGGAUGUGAGCAGACCUGCUGAGGUCUGGUGCGCUUGGCCACAAGCCAUGCUGGAAAAGCGCUUGGGCUGGAUGAGCGGAUGUGAGCAGCCCGCAGGGGGAGGGUGCCCACAGGUCUAGGCCCACCUGGUGAGGAGGCCACUCUGCUCGCUGUGGGUGGGCGGGAGGAGGAUUUUACAUGCUCCACCCUUUCCAUGGCGAAACACCCCUUCUUGUCCUCCCUCUCCCUGCCAGGCCCUGCAGUGACUGCUUUCUAUGCCUGAGACCUGCAGAGAGUGGGUCAAUAGGGCUGGGAACAAAGGCCCCCACUGAUGGGCAGAAUGGAUUUCUGUCAAUCUGCAACCAAAACAAUGGCUUUGCACGUGGGGUUUCCAUGGGCAGGAGCUAGCCUCUGUAGAGAGCGUGAAGGGUUUGCAAACACCGGACCUGAGGACCUGGAGCCCAAGAGUCACGGGAAGAGCUGGGAUCAUGGGGUGUCACCUUCUAAGCCAGUGGCUCUCAGAGAGGGUCCUAGGACCAGCCAUCAGCAUGACCCAGGAACCUUCUAGAAAUGCACAUUCUCCUAUCCCCAGCCUGGGACCCAACCCACCUCCCCAUUCCUGAGAGGAGAUCAGGGGAAAUGAGGAAAGCAGAGAAUGCUAAGGCCCCAAAAGCCCACCCAGAGAUGCCCCUCCUGGUCUGGAGAGAGUCAGUUUCUAGUCCAUCUGGCCAUUUGGAGGCUCAGGGAGGGGAGGACGUGUUGGUCUUGUUAAACACGGGACAGUGACCCACGCACCGUGUCACAGCCUGGAGGAAGUGAGGCAGCAGUCAGUGUGUCCUGGGGCCGAGGGCUCCCGGCACCCUGGACCCAGUGAGCUUCAAGAACACAGAGGGUCUGCAGCCCUCAGUCUGCACUCAUGGGCCCGGUGUGCCCUCACCACCUCCAGGGGGCCAGCAUGUGUAGCAGCGCCGUCUGGGAACUCCGGGUGUGGAAUGCAGGUGCCCUUUGGGGUGAUGAAUCCCAGGCAGGAUGCGGGUGCCCUGUGGGGUGUUGAAUCCCAGGCAGGAUGCGGGUGCCCUGUGGGGUGUUGAAUCCCAGGCAGGCUUUCCGGCUGCAUUGCUGGAAAGAGGCACCAGGAAGGCACUAGUGGCCUCGGCAAGGCUGCCCUGUGAAGCAGGAUGAGCAGCCUGGGGUGUGGUGUGUGGCACGUUGACCGCCCUGUGUGGACAGAGGCAGUGGGCAGCCAGGCCUGUGGGGUCCUGUGAUCCCUGUCCCCCUACACCUCUCACCUGUGAUUCUGCCAGCCUGCCAGGCCCCCUUCCUUCUCACCCAAACCUCCGCCCCUUCCCUGUUCCAGAGAGAAGCUGGGCUUUGGAAGGAGCUGCCGAGGAGAUGAGACCUUGCAGCUACCUGGCCUUCAGCAGCAUAUUCCCCAGAAAGGAGCAUUGGUUGAACUGGAGAAAGGCAAAUAAGAGAAACAGGCCCAAAUCCGUCAUGCAGGGUAAUGAGUUGGAUUUAUAGAAAAGGAAACACAAUAUGAUUCCGCGUAAUGGCUGUUGACAGAGAUUUGGGCUGUUUGUUCUAGGAUAUUAAAUUGACAAACAGCGAGGGUUGCUGGGCUCCCGUCUCCAAUUCGCAGGUGCCUGUCAAAAGGUAUGCGUUUCUGGGCACCAAUCAGAGGUGCAGAGAUUUCCAGAUAAGGAGAAUGUGCAGAACGGCCUAGGAGGCACAUGUGUGACCAAGAUCUGCAUUUCCAACGCCUCCCGAGAAACCCCGCGCCACAGAUGAGCUAAUCUGUGAAGGAAGCAGGGUGGAAAAGCUGCCUCUGUUGUUCCCAGAGAGAACAGGCCGCAUUUUUAAAAAUUUAAUUAAGGCCUUAGAUCAGGUUUGCGUAAUUAAAUUGCUGCUGUGAGUAAGCAGUGUGAUAGAUGAACUCCUCUCGGUGACACUCGGUGUGAGGUGAAAAAGGGCCCUCUGGCAGCUUCCUGGGUGAUCCUCAUGCUUUAAAUUCCACGCCUGCAUCUCAGAUGUGAAAAAUGCUCUCAUUCCAUGCAUUGUUUUGUUUUGUUUUGUUUUUCAAUCUCUGAAGAAUGUUCUCUUCAUGAGUGCAAGGAAAGAGGAAUAAAACCUGGAUAAUUUCUGUGAUCUCAGGACAUGUCUACACAGCCAUCUAGCUGCAGAUCCCGGCUGUCUACACAGCCAUCUAGCUGCGGAUCCCGGCUGUCUAUACUGUGAUGCGGGGACACUUGUCAUUUCGGAAGGUUGCUAAUGAAAAGUCAGAAAUUUCCCAGAGACCCCACACAAGCUAGAAAAAUGGGCCGUUUGCAUGAGAGAUCCUCCGUCAGCAAUAAUAACUUAGCAGGAGAGAUUCCAUACGAUGGGAAAUGAUUGUUUGGAUGGUAAUUUGCUUAGGGAAAUCAAAAGGAGGGAGAGACCCUCAUGCUGGAGUCAGUUUCCAAUGAAAACCAGGAGGAUUGCAUCUGGUUCUUUAAGGUAGGCAUGAAAGUUCUCGGGAGAAAGAGGAGGGAGGAAGGAGGGCUGGAGAGAGGGAAGGAUGGAGGACAAGAGAGAGUGGCAGGUGGCCUCAUCCCCGGGGCUCUUGGGCUGGAGCAGAGAUCCUGAAAGCCAUCGGGUGCCGACGAACCUCUGCUGGGGUCUGAGCCCUCAUCCCCGGGGCUCUUGGACCAGACCAGAGAUCCUGAAAGCCAUUGGGUGCCGACAAACCUCUGCUGGGGUCUGAGCCCUCAUCCCCGGGGCUCUUGGGCCAUGUGGCUUUGAGAAGUC